GACGAACGCUGGCGGCGUGCUUAACACAUGCAAGUCGAACGGAAAGGCCCUGCUUUUGUGGGGUGCUCGAGUGGCGAACGGGUGAGUAACACGUGAGUAACCUGCCCUUGACUUUGGGAUAACUUCAGGAAACUGGGGCUAAUACCGGAUAGGAGCUCCUGCUGCAUGGUGGGGGUUGGAAAGUUUCGGCGGUUGGGGAUGGACUCGCGGCUUAUCAGCUUGUUGGUGGGGUAGUGGCUUACCAAGGCUUUGACGGGUAGCCGGCCUGAGAGGGUGACCGGCCACAUUGGGACUGAGAUACGGCCCAGACUCCUACGGGAGGCAGCAGUGGGGAAUAUUGCACAAUGGGCGGAAGCCUGAUGCAGCAACGCCGCGUGCGGGAUGACGGCCUUCGGGUGGUAAACCGCUUUCGCCUGUGACGAAGCGUGAGUGACGGUAAUGGGUAAAGAAGACCGGCUAACUACGUG
rnacentral:rRNA from 1 species